rnacentral:rRNA from 1 species
UGGGGAAUAUUGGGCAAUGGAGGCAACUCUGACCCAGCCAUGCCGCGUGGGUGACGAAGGUCUUCGGAUUGUAAAGCCCUUUCGGCGGGGACGAUGAUGACGGUACCCGCAGAAGAAGCCCCGGCUAACUUCGUGCCAGCAGCCGCGGUAAUACGAAGGGGGCUAGCGUUGUUCGGAAUUACUGGGCGUAAAGGGCGUGUAGGCGGCCCGCUAAGUCAGGUGUGAAAUUCCUGGGCUCAACCCAGGUCGUGCACUUGAGACUGACGGGCUUGAGUCCGGGAGAGGAUGGUGGAACUCCCAGUGUAGAGGUGAAACUCGUAGAUAUUGGGAAGAACACCCGUGGCGAAGGCGGCCAUCUGGACCGGUACUGACGCUAAGGCGCGACAGCGUGGGGAGCAAACA